CAUGGGCCCUGGUUUCCAAGUAGCAUACAUGGGGGUUACCACCGGCCAAGAAUACUGGAGACUUCUGCUAGCUUCCUUCUACACAAGAGUCUCCAUUGACGUUCCCGUGGGCUAGGACGCUUGGUGCCCAACGUCUGGUGCCUGGAUAGUAGAGGGGGCUCCGUGAGGAAGAAGACUCACGUAGCCAGGGUUGUAUGUAGAAAUACCAUCGCAUGCCAUGGGCGCCUGCUGCAGCCGAAACGAAGGUGAGUGAUAGAGUCUGAUUAUGGGACAAGCAUUAAGCCAACAUGAGGUCUAUGGAGACAGUUAAAAGGGGCAUUAAACCUGUGAGGAGAAAGGUAAAAACCAAUGAUUUAUUUAAAUAUUUUGAUUUUGUUAAGGAUCUUUGCUCAUGGUUUCCUCAAGAGGGAACUAUCGAUAUUAUAAGUUGGAAUAGAGUAGGAGAUGCUCUUAAAGAUUUCUAUAACACUUUUGGGCCUGAAAAGGUUCCUGUGACUGCUUUCUCUUAUUGGAAUCUAAUUAAAGAAUUAAUAGAUAAAAAGGAGGCUUGCCCGACAGUAAUAGCUGUGACUUCACAAACUGAGGAGAUUCUGAAAGAUUCCUCCAAGACCAAUAAGGUCAAAACACGGGGAGAAGAGCAAAUCGACCUAAUUUCCCUAGAAAGUGAGGAUGAGGGUGCACAAGGGGGACACGGGGUGCCUGAGGACAGAAAAAAGGUUCACAA
rnacentral:sRNA from 1 species